rnacentral:rRNA from 1 species
GUAGGUGGCAAGCGUUGUCCGGAAUUAUUGGGGCGUAAAGCGCGCGCAGGCGGUUCUUUAAGUCUGAUGUGAAAGCCCACGGGCUCAACCGUGGAGGGUCAUUGGAAACUGGAGAACUUGAGUGCAGAAGAGGAAAGCGGAAUUCCACGUGUAGCGGUGAAAUGCGUAGAGAUGUGGAGGAACACCAGUGGCGAAGGCGGCUUUCUGGUCUGUAACUGACGCUGAGGCGCGAAAGCGUGGGGGGCAAACAGGAUUAGAUACCCUGGUAGUCCACGCCGUAAACGAUGAAUGCUAAGUGUUAGGGGGUUUCCGCCCCUUAGUGCUGCAGCUAACGCAUUAAGCACUCCGCCUGGGGAGUACGGCCGCAAGGCUG